GUGCUUGCUUUGGCAGCACAUAUACUAAAAUUAAACUGAUACAGAGAUUAGCAUGGCUCCCGAGCUAGGAUGUCAUGAAAAUUUAUAAAGAAAAAGAUUAAU